CACAAAGGGUCCUGGCUCCCUUCUCCCCACUCUGUGCCCGUUUCCUGAAUUAUCAGCCUCUGUUUGUGAUUCUCCUCCAAAGAAGAAUUCCUCCGCUACCAUGGCACCGACUCCUGUUUCAACCCAAAUGGCCUGGGGAAGUCUGUUCUAGUCCUCCACCUCUCUCAAAGGAUUCUUCUGGACCCCCAAGAUCAGUGCUCCUUGUUCUUGGAAACCUGCAGCAUCUUACCUUUUAUAACUGGUAUGCCCAAGUUGGAUGGGUCUAGGAGGAAAGGUACUUUCCACUACUGAUCGAGCUUCUCCCCGAGUCCCCACCUCAUAAGAGAAAAAGCGAUAUAGGACAGCUAAAACAGAAGAGAGGGGCUGAGGAAAUGUGUGACCAUCUCAGACAAACUACACUCACAACUGCCACCAGCCCAACAAUAAAGGAAGAGGAAAAGAAAAAGAAGAAAGAGAAAGAGAAGGAGAGGAAGGAGAAGAAAAGGGAGAAGGAGAA
rnacentral:lncRNA from 1 species